rnacentral:rRNA from 1 species
UACGGGGGGGGUAAGCGUUGUUCGGAAUUACUGGGCGUAAAGGGCUCGUAGGCGGCCAACUAAGUCGGACGUGAAAUCCCCAGGCUCAACCUGGGAACUGCGUCCGAUACUGGAUGGCUUGAGAUUGGGAGAGGGAUGCGGAAUUCCAGGUGUAGCGGUGAAAUGCGUAGAUAUCUGGAGGAACACCGGUGGCGAAGGCGGCAUCCUGGACCAACACUGACGCUGAGGCGCGAAAGCUAGGGGAGCAAACGGG